GACGAACGCUGGCGGCAUGGAUUAGGCAUGCAAGUCGAACGGUAUCAUCCUUUCGGGGGUGAGAGAGUGGCGAACUGGUGAGUAACACGUAGGUUAUCUACCCUCAAGACGGGGACAACCCAGGGAAACUUGGGCUAAUACCGGAUGUGAGCAACUUUUAGUUGUUUGAAAGGUGGCGUAAGCUGUCGCUUGGGGAUGAGCCUGCGUCCUAUUAGUUAGUUGGUGAGGUAACGGCUCACCUAGGCAAUGAUAGGUAGGCGGCCUUAACGGGUGGUCGCCCACACUGGGAUUGAGAUACGGCCCAGACUCCUACGGGAGGCAGCAGUCGAGAAUAGUCUACAAUGGUCGGAAGACUGAUAGUGCGACGCCGCGUGAACGAUGAAUCCCUUCGGGGUGUAAAGUUCUUUUAUAUGUGAGCAGUGCUUCUUAUAUUAACAGUAUGGGGAGAGAGAUAUUAGCAUAUGAAUAAGCAACGGCUAACUCCGUGCCAGCAGCCGCGGU
rnacentral:rRNA from 1 species